rnacentral:rRNA from 1 species
UACGGAGGGUGCGAGCGUUGUCCGGAAUCACUGGGCGUAAAGGGCGCGUAGGCGGCGCGGAUAGUCGGCGGUGAAAGCCCGGAGCUCAACUCCGGGUCGGCCGUCGAUACUUCCGGGCUUGAGCACUGUAGAGGCAGAUGGAAUUCCGGGUGUAGCGGUGGAAUGCGUAGAGAUCCGGAAGAACACCGGUGGCGAAGGCGGUCUGCUGGGCAGUUCCUGACGCUGAGGCACGAAGGCCAGGGGAGCAAACGGG